AGAGUUUGAUCCUGGCUCAGAACGAACGCUGGCGGCGUGCCUAACACAUGCAAGUCGAACGCGAAAGGGGGCAACCCCCGGUAGCGUGGCAGACGGGUGAGUAACACGUGGGUAACCNACCCCGAGGUGGGGGAUAACCCUCCGAAAGGAGGGCUAAUACCGCAUGACACCUGGAGGUCCCUGGACUUCCAAAUCAAAGCUAGCCUCUGCUUGCAAGCUAGCGCCACGGGAGGGGCCCGCGCCCCAUUAGCUAGUUGGUGAGGUAACGGCUCACCAAGGCGACGAUGGGUAGCCGGCCUGAGAGGGCGAUCGGCCACACUGGAACUGAGACACGGUCCAGACUCCUACGGGAGGCAGCAGUGAGGAAUAUUGCGCAAUGGGCGAAANGCCUGACUGCANGCGUACGCCGCGNGA
rnacentral:rRNA from 1 species